rnacentral:rRNA from 1 species
GACGAACGCUGGCGGCGUGCCUAAUACAUGCAAGUAGAACGCAGUUGCGAACGGGUGAGUAACGCGUAGGUAACUGCCUCAUAGCGGGGGAUAACUCUUGGAAACGAUAGCUAAUACCGCAUACUGUGAGAUGGACCUGCGUUGUAUUAGCUAGUUGGUGAGGUAAAGGCUCACCAAGGCGACGAUACCUAGCCGACCUGAGAGGGAGAUCGGCCACACUGGGACUGGGACAAGGCCCAGACUCCUACGGGAGGCAGCAGUAGGGAAUCUUCGGACAAGGACGGAAGUCUGGACGAGCAACGCCGGUGGAGAGAAGAAGGGGUUCGGGUCGUAAAGCUCUGUUGUGUGAGGAGCGGUAACUAACCAGAAAGGGACGGCUAACUACGUGCCAGCAGCCGCGGUAAUUC